UAAUGCCGGAUGCUCCGACUCCUCGCAUGGGGUGUCGGGAAAGAUUUCAUCGGUAUGGGAUGGGGUCGCGUCCUAUCAGGUAGUCGGCGGGGUAACGGCCCACCGAGCCUACGACGGGUAGCCGGCCUGAGAGGGCGACCGGCCACAUUGGGACUGAGAUACGGCCCAGACUCCUACGGGAGGCAGCAGUGGGGAAUAUUGCACAAUGGGCGCAAGCCUGAUGCAGCGACGCCGCGUGCGGGAUGACGGCCUUCGGGUUGUAAACCGCUUUUGAUCGGGAGCAAGCCUUCGGGUGAGUGUACCUUUCGAAUAAGCACCGGCUAACUACGUGCCAGCAGCCGCGGUAAUACGUAGGGUGCAAGCGUUAUCCGGAAUUAUUGGGCGUAAAGGGCUCGUAGGCGGUUCGUCGCGUCCGGUGUGAAAGUCCAUCGCUUAACGGUGGAUCUGCGCCGGGUACGGGCGGGCUGGAGUGCGGUAGGGGAGACUGGAAUUCCCGGUGUAACGGUGGAAUGUGUAGAUAUCGAGAGAAAACA
rnacentral:rRNA from 1 species